CCUACGGGAGGCAGCAGUGGGGAAUAUUGCACAAUGGGGGAAACUCUGAUGCAGCGACGCCGCGUGAGUGAAGAAGUAUUUCGGUAUGUAAAGCUCUAUCAGCAGGAACGAGACAAGACGGUACCUGACUAAGAAGCGCCGGCUAACUAGGUGCCAGCAGCCGCGGUAAUACGUAGGGGGCAAGCGUUAUCCGGAGUCACUGGGUGGAAGGGGAGGGUGGACGGCUGGGCAAGUCUGAGGUGAAAGGCGGGGGCCGAACCCACGGACUGCUUUGGGAACUGUACGGCUGGAGUGCAGGAGAGGUAAGUGGAAUUCCUAGUGUAGCGGUGAAAUGCGUAGAUAUUAGGAGGAACACCAGUGGCGAAGGCGGCUUACUGGACUGUAACUGACGUUGAGGCUCGAAAGCGUGGGGAGCAAACAGGAUUAGAUACCCCAGUAGUC
rnacentral:rRNA from 1 species